UUGUUUAAUGAAAAAUUUAAAUUAAUGUAGGAUUUUGAUUAAUUUUAAUCAAUCAGUUGAUCAAUAUUAAAUUAAAUUUAGUAAAUCUUGUCCAUGUCAAAGAAUGAAAUACGAAAAGACUAAAUACAGUAUUUUCAAAUUAACACAAAGGAUGCAUGUUAUAUAUUUAUAUCGGCCUUUCUAAAAAAGAUUCAACCAUUAGAUGAACAAAAAUGACUUGUAUCACCACACUCAUCAAGAAAUGAUAGUUUUUUUCACCAUUUCUUUCCUUUUCAUCUUCCAUUCUCUCAACAUUUUUUCUUGUUCUCUUUUCUUCUUUUCAUCUAUCAUUUUCACCUUUCUCCCUCCCCACCCUUUUAUGCACAUCAUCUUUCAUCUUUUUCAUUCACAAUCAUCUCAAGAGGCGUUCUGAUUAAUGUUAACCGAUAAAUAGACGUGCGCUCAAGACCAAGAUUACCCUACGGCUAUCAUUGAGCCAUCAAAAGGAGCAAAAAGGACUGAGAAGAUGUUGAAGCCAAAAGGAUAUGUUACCAAGAAAAAGAAGAGGAAAGAGCAAGGAAAAGAUGAGAGUCAAGCCAAUCAUUGGAAAAUGGAUUGUGAUGAAGAGAGGAGGAGGAGGACAAAAAAAUGUAUUAAUGAAGUGUCCAAAGGAUGAAAGAGCAAAGCCUGGAGGCAUCGCGAUGAACAUGAUUGAAAAAAGUGGCUUCACUUUACCCUUUCUUACGAUCAUUUUUCACUACAUUUUAAGGUCAAACUGGAUGACAUGAUAGGGUUAACUCGACUUUUCUUCCACUUUGACUUGCAAACUCCUUUAGACCUUUAGAUGUCUUAUAGUAUUACAAAUAUCUUCACACUUCAAUCCCAAAAUGUUACAAAAAGUGGACCCAAAAAGAGUCAAAUAAAAGGUUAACCAAGAUGGAAGAUGAAUUGCUGAAAAGAAGGAAAAGUAAAAAAUGAAUCUCAUUUUUUUGUGUUUUCAUUAUCAUACAAAGUUCACACUUUACCUGGAAUUGUCCAAUCAACUGGUGAAGCCAAAGUCACUCAACAUGAAGAUUAUUGAUAUUAAUGGAAUUCCGACCUCAGAACGACUCUUGACGUGAAGCUUUGACGAUUGUCCAAAAUAUGACCCUUGGUUCACAGGGUUACAAGCGUAAAAUGUGUUUGAAUAAGCGUCACAUAAUAACGAGACCUUUAACAACACUGUAAAUGCCUUCUCUGUGUUUAACAAACAUUGAUAGGCAAAGGGUUUGCCCUUUUACCUGUCAUGUCACAUUACCUGAUAAUCAGGCCAAAGGGUGUGAAACCAUAGAUGGCAUUUUGGGUCAGACUGAUUACAGGUUGACUUUGAUUUCUCGUUAUUUCUCCAUUCGCCAUUGUUCUCAUUAUUUGACUUUUCCUUUUCUUCUUCUUCUCCUUUCAUCUUCAUCAUCAUCAUCUUUCGUGUCUUUUUUUGCUGUACAAAGAUGAAUAUCAAGCUAUUUAUCAACAUUGACAUGUAACCAUGGGAAAGGUAAAACGAUAUACCCUUUUUGACUGUUGUGUGUCUAUCUGUGUCUAAUGCAUAGAUGAUGUUAUCAACUCCAUUCUUGAUACUUUCCUAUUUCCUUAUUAUAUUAAUAUGACCAAGAAAACACAAAUACAUCAAAUACACAGUUGAUACACACGCAAAGCUCUGAUUUACCCGGCAAUUCUAGUAAUUUUUAUGUUAAUAUCAUUUUUUUGUUCUCAAAGCAAAGUCAUUUUUACCAUUUAAAUAGUGAACUUAAACCUGUGCGAACUGCACUCGACAGAGAUUUUAAAUUGCCGAUGAUGGCAAUGAUUGAGGCCCAACAAUGGCAAGAGAUUAAAGGACAAAGUAAAAUGAAAGCCAAAAAUGGAUUUAUCAACCAUUAGAAUCACUAUUAAUAUCGUAACCCAAUCAAAUUUAGGGCAACACAUCGAGUUGGAAAAGUAAAAAGAUUUUUGUCCCUUUUCUUUCGAUAUUCAUUUAUGCAAUUUGAUUAGAUGCAGAUAAAGAGGAGAAGGCAAUUCUUGCCGUUCAAUUGAAAAUGACGGAUGUUGUUUUGUUACAUGUAACCUCAAGUAUUAAAUAACAUGGGCAACACACAACCACAAACCUUUCCAGGCAAAAAUACAUUGUCACCUAUAGACCAGUAAAAAGUGGAUACAAACACCGCAAGUGUACCACUGUUGAUGUAUUUUUGUUUUGUCUUAUCUUCAAAUUGUCUUCUGGGAUUCCUUCCCAACCAUCUCCUCUCCUUAUCAUCUUCAGUAUAUUAGCUUUUAUGACGAUUCAAGGUAUAAUAUUGGUUACACUCAGACACUUACACAAUGGAUACUUAUUUUGUCUUCUUCUUCUUGUACCCACAAUCCCAAGUGACCAGUGAGGUUUUAUCUCAAAGGUAAUUUGAUAUGGGCUGUUGUUUAUCAUCAUCAUCCUUCCUCCUCCUCAUCAUAUGGACUCAACCAUUUGGAUCAUCACAAGUAACAGAUACAAGGGAAUUAACAAAAACAUGAUCUCGCAUAUCACUUUCCUCUAAUUUAUAUUACAAGUUUGGUUCCACUUCUUAUCCACUUCCAAUGAUAAACAACCGAGUUUUUUUCAUGCUUUUUUAUGCUGUGUGGCUUAUUGUGGCCUCGACUGUUUUGAUUGAAAAUAUUGGAUUGAUGAUAACAUCUGAUUAGAUGAUCAGUUAACUGGUUUUGGGUUUUCAUUGUUACCAUCAUUCCCUAACAGCAAUCUCAACAUUUGCUGUAGACUCAUCUUUAGAGACAAAGGAAGGUUAUUGCAGUGGUUAAGGUGACGGUGGUUGAUGAUUGCAUCGAGUUGGUGGUUACAUCAAGCCUGUUGUGGGGUGAAAAGAAGGAGGAAAAAGGCUGAAUGUUGUUAUCCAUUAAAAAGUUUACUCUACUCUCUAUUCAAUUGACUUUUUACAGCCACCAACAGUCAUUAUAACCAUGAUUAUUAUCAUCUGAUGGGCACACUGAUUGCUAUCAAUUUAAUCGUUAUCCAAGAUACUUCAAUGAUAUAAUAGACACAAGGAGUUGAGGAUAAAAAAGAGACUUUUGAUUUGCAAAUAAACAUACGGAUGUAAACAAAAUCUGAACACACGUAUGAUUUAAUGGACAAUAGACAAAAGAGGAAGAAAAAAACUAAUCCAAAUAAGGUAAUCAUUUGGGUUAAUCUUUAAGAUUGACUGGUGUAAAGUGAUUCACUUUGAAAUUUUGAAGCCAACAACUGUCUGAAAUUUGACGCCAAAAAGUGAAUCUCUUUGCCUCAUCAUAAUCAUUGUUUCAUCCUUUCAUCCACAUUCAUCUUUCCUAACCAAAAUUGACAUCCAACCAUCAAAAAGAGUAUCAUUUUUAUCUCGAAUCAUCUUUCCAUUUUCCAAUCUCUUCCAUCUCCUGCUGUCUCAUAUCAAUCGACAGGGUUAACGGUAAGGUUGCAUUUUAUUUGGUUUAAGGUUAAAUUGAAGGCACAGUUAACUGUGAUAGUCUUAGUGACCCUGUUGUUCAAUGAACACAAGCCAUCACUCAAUCUUGAUCCACAUUAUUUGAUCACUUUCUAACCAUCAAUCGAUGGUAAACAUUUCAUUUCAACCUUUUCAUCAAACCAUUUCAAUGUCUUCACCCAUUUCACAGGCAAAGUCAUCUCGAUUCAUCUCGUAAAAUUGAUCAACAUUUAAUUUUUCAUUUUGUUACCAUUCAUCAAGUAAAGCUAAUACUUUGUAAUGGCUUUUAAUCUUUAUAUAACAUAUUAUCUUGCCGUUAAGUUAAUGAAUGGCAAGCAAAUAAGUAACUCGUAACUAACAUGAUUAGUGAGAAAAUACAUUUUUCAACUCAUUUCAUGCUCUCUUCAACUUGCAGUGAAACAUUUGCACCAAAAGCUCAUAAUGUUUACAAGGAUCCCUCCACCAUCUACCAACAUGAACAUCAACUUAAUAAUCACCAUUAACAUGAUGAUAACAAGCCAUUGAUGGAAUCAGUGGAAAUCAUCUUUCAUCGUUAACUCCAUUGAUCUGUAAAAAAGUUGAGACCAUUAAGCAUGAGAAAAAAAACUCAGAGAGGAAAAAAUUUAAUCUAAAGUUGAACUCGCAAAGGAACCAGCAAAGAAGCAAGAAAAAAUGGAGAAAUAAUUUAAUGAUAUUAUGAUAUAUUUGAUUAGACUUUUGAUAAACAGUUUGUUCCUUCGAUGAACCCUGAAAAAAGAAGCAAAUAAGCUUGAAUAUUAUUCAAUAUCAAUUUGUCCAUAUUUUUGGUUACUCUAUUAUUCCAGUCACCCUGUUAACCAUGUAACCUUCAACCAUUUUCAUGUAUCCGAUGACAAUUCUGGUAAUCUUAAUGAUGUUCAUGAACAGUUGAACAGCUUAAUCUAAAAAUUAUAACCUCAUUGAACAAGCUCAAUCAAUC